rnacentral:rRNA from 1 species
GACGUAGGGGGCCAGCGUUGUUCGGAAUUACUGGGUGUAAAGGGGUUCGUAGGCGGUGUAGCAAGUCGGGUGUGAAAUCUCGGAGCUUAACUCCGAAACUGCAUUCGAUACUGCCGUGCUUGAGGACUGGAGAGGAGACGUGGAAUUUACGGUGUAGCGGUGAAAUGCGUAGAUAUCGUAAGGAAGACCAGUGGCGAAGGCGGGUCUCUGGACAGUUCCGUGACGCUGAGGCACGAAGGUCAGGGGAGCAAACGGG